rnacentral:rRNA from 1 species
AAUAAACGCUGGCGGCGUGCCUAACACAUGCAAGUCGAGCGAGAAAGCUCCUUCGGGAGUUAGUAAAGCGGCGAACGGGUGAGCAACACGUGAGAAUCUACCCUUUAGUGAAGAAUACCCUCGAGAAAUCGAGGCUAAUACUGCAUACGUCCCUUCGGGGAGAAAGAUGGCCUCUUUGCUAUCGCUAAAGGAUGAGCUUGCGUACUAUUAGCUAGUUGGCGGGGUAAAGCCCACAAGGCAAUGAUGGUUAACCGGCCUGAGAGGGUGUACGGUCACACUGGAACUUAGACACGGUCCAGACUCCUACGGGAGGCAGCAGUGAGGAAUCUUGCGCAAUGGGCGAAAGCCUGACGCAGCGACGCCGCGUGGAGGAUGACGGUUUUCGGAUUGUAAACUCCUGUUAAGCGGGAAGAAAGCCUUGUUUCUAAUACAAGCAAGGUAUGACGGUACCGCUAGAGAAAGCACCGGCUAACUUCGUGCCAGCAGCCGCGGUAAA